rnacentral:lncRNA from 1 species
CCUGGGCCCAGAGUCAUGACCAAUACUGGUGAGUCAUACUCCCCAUACAGAGCUCCCUACACACUGGCUGUCAGAAAAAAAAAAAAAAAAAAAAAAAGCAAAACAGAAGUUGCCAUCUCGUCCUGUGCUCCAGCUGUCUCAUUUUACCUUCUGAAAUGAUGGAGGAAGUUCUGCUGAGGAUGGGGUCAGGGUAACAGCAGACUUCUGAAUAACUCUGCACCCCCAGAAACCUGCAAAGGACACAGGCCCUCUUGGUGGUCUCCUCCUGGAUACCUUGCUUUCUCCUGGAAGAGCCCUCCCUUCCACCCCGGAUAUCACUGUGAACCUGAUUCCCCAGGAUCAACCAUCUGAGCAGAUACCUUAGAAUGUCCCCAGAUUUCAGAGAUAUCUGCCUGGACCUGUACAGCUCGAGCCGCUGGAUUUAUCCUGUUUUAACAAACGCAUCGUGCUUGCCAUGUGCAACAAAAAUACACCAAUUUAAUGUUCAACAAUCCUUUGAGAAUUCCAAAGAAGAUAGAAACGGGGUUAGGAAGGGAAUUUUUGCCCUCCUGGUUCUUGUCAUCCUUCUCCACUUCAAGAUGAAAUUCCUGAAAUUCCUACAGUUAUCUUGUUAUCAACCUAAGGAUGAAUGUAACACCUACAGGAGGGUGGAACUGAGUAUUCUCCCCUGGAGCCUGAGAUAUCUCUGGACUUCCUAG